rnacentral:rRNA from 1 species
GUGGGGAAUCUUGCGCAAUGGGCGAAAGCCUGACGCAGCCAUGCCGCGUGAAUGAUGAAGGUCUUAGGAUUGUAAAAUUCUUUCACCGGGGACGAUAAUGACGGUACCCGGAGAAGAAGCCCCGGCUAACUUCGUGCCAGCAGCCGCGGUAAUACGAAGGGGGCUAGCGUUGCUCGGAAUUACUGGGCGUAAAGGGCGCGUAGGCGGACAGUUUAGUCAGAGGUGAAAGCCCAGGGCUCAACCUUGGGAUUGCCUUUGAUACUGGCUGUCUUGAGUACGGGAGAGGUGAGUGGAACUCCGAGUGUAGAGGUGAAAUUCGUAGAUAUUCGGAAGAACACCAGUGGCGAAGGCGACUCACUGGCCCGUUACUGACGCUGAGGCGCGAAAGCGUGGGGAGCAAACAGGAUUAGAUACCCGUGUAGUCC